CGUUGCGGGAGGAGGUUCAGUGUGCGCGUGUGUGGGCGCAUGGGAGUCAUUGUAGUGCAAGGGCAGCAUCUACGUGUAAUUAUUAAAGGAAUUACUGCAGUCCGUCAUAGCAGCCAGUGCUAAGGAGGCGCUGCCUCCAUGUUAGUGGUGGUUGGAGUAGCAGGUAGAGCGUCGGUCUCACAGGCUGUGGGUGAAGUUAUAGAGCCAAUCGGAAAAACACAUGGACGAGGAUGAAGAGAUGGAAGAGAAAAUACAUGGCAGAGAGAGAAGGAACCAAGGCGGAUGAAGAAAAACGAGGAAGACGUAAUUUCCAAUGGGGAACUCUGGGGAAGGAAUUAACAGCUCUCACCCUAUAAAAUACUGAUGGAAAUAAAACGAGGACAAGAUAGCGGAAGAAAACGCAUUAGAUAGAACUCUCAGAAAUCAAAAGGAGGAGAAUACCUUUUUUUCUGGUGUAAUUGAUAUGUUUAUUGUUUAUUUUUCCUUACACUGAUUCAAUCCUCACGCUCUUCACAUUAUGCCAACAUACCACAACUUAGACGUUUUUUUUCUGCGGUUCCAUUAUUUAGCGUUUAUAUUUCUAGCUGGGAUUAAUCACCAAGGAUAAUCUGUAGGGAUUGAUAUUGUUCUGGUACUGUACAUGUAUAUAGUCCAUUUUUAAUUAUCUCAUCCCCAUCAGC